rnacentral:sRNA from 1 species
UUUUUGUUUGCGUUAAGGAUUGCAGUGGAAAUCCCGGCGCCGUAGUUUACGGAGGUGCCGGAUUGCAACGGAAAGCCUGACCCCAG